rnacentral:rRNA from 1 species
AGUGAGUCAUCGAAAUUUUGAACGCAUAUUGCACCUCCGGGUUAUUCCUGGAGGUAUGCCUGUAUCAGUGUCCGUACAUCAAACUUGGUNUUCUUCUUUCCGUGUAGUCGGGGGAGGAUAUGCCAGAUGUGAAGUGUCUUACGGCUGAUUUUCGGAUCGGCUGUGAGUCCUUUGAAAUGUACAGAACUGACUCUCUUUGUUCGAAAAGCGUGGCAUUGCUGGUUGUAAAGGCUGUUCAUGUGACCAGUCGGCGAUCGGUUUGUCUGCUGUGGCGUUAAUGGAGGAGUGUUCGAUUCGCGGUAUGGUUGGCUUCGGCUGAACAGACGCUUAUUGGUCAUUCUUCUUGCUGUGGCGGUAUAACUGAUGAACCGUAGUCGUGUGUGACUUACCUUUUGAAUCGGCGUUGCUGUGCGAAGUAGAGUGACAGUUUCGGCUGUCGAGGGUCGACCCAUUUGGGAAAUUGUGCGGUGCGGCUUCGGUCGCGCGGCAUCUCAAUUGGACCUGAUAUCAGGCAAGAUUACCCGCUGAACUUAAGCAUAUCAAUAAGCGGAGGA